rnacentral:rRNA from 1 species
AGGACGAACGCUGGCGGCGUGCUUAACACAUGCAAGUCGAGCGGAAAGGCCCUUCGGGGUACUCGAGCGGCGAACGGGUGAGUAACACGUGAGUAACCUGCCCCAGACUUUGGGAUAACCCUCGGAAACGGGGGCUAAUACCGGAUAUGACACUUCACCGCAUGGUGUGGGUGUGGAAAGUUUUUCGGUUUGGGAUGGGCUCGCGGACUAUCAGCUUGUUGGUGGGGUGAUGGCCUACCAAGGCGACGACGGUU